GAUGAACGCUGGCGGCGUGCCUAAUACAUGCAAGUCGAGCGAACAGACGAGGAGCUUGCUCCUCUGACGUUAGCGGCGGACGGGUGAGUAACACGUGGAUAACCUACCUAUAAGACUGGGAUAACUUCGGGAAACCGGAGCUAAUACCGGAUAAUAUAUUGAACCGCAUGGUUCAAUAGUGAAAGACGGUUUUGCUGUCACUUAUAGAUGGCUCCGCGCCGCAUUAGUUAGUUGGUAAGGUAACGGCUUACCAAGGCAACGAGGCGUAGCCGACCUGAGGGGGUGAUCGGCAGCACGGGAGAGAGGAAGCGGACCAACCCCGGAAGGGAGGCACCGGUAGGAAUCCUACGGGAGGGGGCAAAGGCGUAUAGGGGAAACGCGGCGUAAGUGUGAAAGAGCUACGGAGCGUAAAUCAUGAUAUUAGGGAAGAACAAAUGUGUAAGUAACUGGGCACGUCUUGACGGUACCUAAUCAGAAAGCCACGGCUAACUACGUG
rnacentral:rRNA from 1 species